UGGCGGACGGGUGAGUAAUGUCUGGGAAACUGCCUGAUGGAGGGGGAUAACUACUGGAAACGGUAGCUAAUACCGCAUAACGUCGCAAGACCAAAGAGGGGGACCUUAGGGCCUCUUGCCAUCGGAUAUGCCCAGAUGGGAUUAGCUAGUAGGUGGGGUAAAGGCUCACCUAGGCGACGAUCCCUAGCUGGUCUGAGAGGAUGACCAGCCACACUGGAACUGAGACACGGUCCAG
rnacentral:rRNA from 1 species